UGGGGAAUAUUGGACAAUGGGCGCAAGCCUGAUCCAGCCAUGCCGCGUGAGUGAUGAAGGCCUUAGGGUUGUAAUGCUCUUUUUGGCGGGGACGAUAAUGACGGUACCCGCAGAAUAAGCCCCGGCUAACUUCGUGCCAGCAGCCGCGGUAAUACGAAGGGGGCUAGCGUUGUUCGGAAUUACUGGGCGUAAAGCGCACGUAGGCGGAUCGGCAAGUCAGGGGUGAAAUCCCGGGGCUCAACCUCGGAACUGCCUCUGAUACUGCCAGUCUAGAGUCCGGAAGAGGUGGGUGGAAUUCCUAGUGUAGAGGUGAAAUUCGCAGAUAUUAGGAAGAACACCGGUGGCGAAGGCGGCCCACUGGUCCGGUACUGACGCUGAGGUGCGAAAGCGUGGGGAGCAAACAGGAUUAGAUACCCUUGUAGUCCCUGAGCGGGCUGGCAAGGCGCAU
rnacentral:rRNA from 1 species